GUAGCUGGUUUUGUGAAGGCAGGAGGGAGGAGGGUGGGCGGGGCUUCCGUUCCCAAAUUUUAUCCCGAAGAGCGGUAGACAGUGUGCGGGCGUGUGGGGGGGCCUGGGGCCUCGGUGUACAAUCUGGAGAAGCUGCGGCGGGGGCAGAGUGUAGUAUAAAACGUUACUGGACGUCCAGGGCGCGUCGCUUCACCGGCUGCUGGCCAGAGGUACUAGGAGGCGCUGGCAGGAGCCCUGGCGAGGAUGCACCUUUUCCCUGCCUUGGAAAGGUAGAACUGGGCAGGGCGGGAGGGUGAAGGUAGCCCGGAAAAGAACACUUUCUCAUUUCCAAGGGAAAAAAGCAACAGAAGAAAUACAAUUAUAGCAAAAAUGUAUUAUUUCAAAGGUCACCCAGUCAGAAUCCUUCAAAAUUCAGGCAGUCAGUAUCAUUUUUACUGAAUUAAAAAAAAAAAAGGUUUUCUGUCUUUGAUUUCCAGGGUGUUUUUGAGUAAGGAGCAUGUUAAAAUAAAAUCGAGAUAGGGAUUAAGACUUUGAAAGUGCCUCUGAUUACUGGGUCUGAAAUUAAUUCUUUUGAUAAAGUACUUUACCAUGUAGGAUAAUGUUAUUUGUAAUACAGGUCUUAUACAAGUGAUAGCCUUCCUUAAUUUAUAACCCGGUUAUGUUUUACUUUACUGUGACAUUUUUUAAAGUUUAUGAUAAUUCGAAUUAUUCUCCAAAUCACUGAAUCUCCAGAUGAGUGAGGUUAGCAUAUGUACAGUUUUUUGGGGGGUCCGCUACUCUUGUUGCAGUGUGGAUGACGAUUUUAACCGGAUGUCCAGACCCUGCCUUCAGUCUAACGGCUCCUAUCCUGUCCAACCUACAGUCAAUUUUUUUAGUACUAAACUCUCCCAAUACUUCCUAACCCAACUAACCCCUUAAGCUUAGCCCAGACCAACCAGCCUCCUCAGACCACCAUAAACCAACCUGCUUGUGCCCUUAGCAAGGACUUUUGGGAGUUAAGAUUGUCCCCCAAUGGACUGGGUAGCUUCAGGAAGCAGUGAUCUCCUCAUUCCUGGAAAUACCAGUCAAACACUAGUCUGGAUGACCCCUUAAUAGGGACAUUGUAGAAAAGAUUCAAAUAUCAAGUGAAUAUUAGGACUAGUGAUUUUGAAAGUCUGUUCCAGACCACUGAGAUACUGUAUUUCCAAACUUGGAGUUCCUGGAUAUCUACUAAACCAAGCCAUUUGCCUUGCUCAUUACCAUUUUCUAGAGUUGUGCUCUCCAAUAUGGUAGCCAGAAGCCAUUUGUGGCUGUCGAGCACGUGAAUGUGACUGGUCCAAACUGAGAUGUGCUAUGUGUGAAAUAUACUCAGGGUUUCUGAGAAUUAGUAUGAAAAAGUGUUAAAUAUCUCAUUAAUAAUUUUUAUAUUGAUUACGUGUUGAAAUAAUCGUAUUUUUGGUUAUUGGGUUAAAAAUAUUAAAUUUUAUUUCAUCUGUUUCUUUUUAAACUUUUUUUUAGUGUGGUUACUAGACAAUUAAAAAAAAAACUCAAACAUGAUUUUAUUUUUUUAAUUUUUUGGCCCUGCCUUCCGGCAUGUGGGAUCUUAGUUCCCCAACCAGGGAUUGAACCCAUGCCCCCUGCAGUGGAAGCUCAAGAGUCUUAACCACUGAACCUCCAGGGAAGUCCCUAGACAGUUUUAAUUUAUAGAUGUGACUCGCAUUAUAUAUUUCUGUUUGGACGUUGCUGUUCUAGACCAACACCCGUGGUAACUCGAAGCCCCAUCUUUGAGAUUGGUGGCUGAUAAUAUUGAGGAGUAGCUGAUAACUUCUAGUUGCCAUCCUAAGUUCUCAAGUUAAGUCAAGGCCCAAACCCAGCCUCAGGAACCCUUAAAGAAUUCCACCAACACCUAACACCUACGGUUUAAUCUAUAACACAUAGUACUUGUUUUGAGCCCAGCCCAUGGAAAUAUGGUACAGCUCUGUCUGAUUAAAUCAGACUUGAUCACAGCUUUCCACAUUUAUGUAGAGAACCUGGGAGAGCCAAUAUGUUAGGAAUGACUCUGGAAAAAAAAUUUAGAUCCCAAACAAAGUCUCCAUGAGUAACUUUUCAGUGGCACUUGUCAGUAGAGAGGAAGGUGGGAGGGAGAUGGAGCAGUGUUCUCAUUCCAUGAUUGCACCUCUAUCAGAAGACUGGAACAAAUGAAAAGGUGUGCCAUGUUUUUGGAUAGGCAUAUGCAAAAUGGUAAAGAUGGCAGUAAAUUUAUACCUUUUAAGUUAAAUUUGUACCUUUGCACUAAAUUCUAAGUCUGAUCAUCCUAUUUCGUUCCAUUGUUCAGUUUAAACACUGAGGACCAUUUAUUUUAAUUACUGUAAGUUUAGAAUAGUUACAAUUACUCAUAGCACUAAUCCUCCACACCCCAACCAGUACCUUUAUUUACUCUUCUCUUUUUCAGAAUUUUCCUGGAUUCUUUGCUUGCCUCCCCUCACCCCUCCCCCCCCACCCCGAUGGAUUUGAAAUGAAUUUUGUCUAGUUGCAAAUUCCUGUUGUGUUAAAAUAAAUAAAUAAAGUGGGAUCCUUAUCUCCCACUUCAUACCAGAUAAAUUCCUC
rnacentral:lncRNA from 1 species